rnacentral:lncRNA from 1 species
UCCCUUCCUCUCUCCCAUCCUCUUUCUCUCUUUCUCUCCCUCACACUCCCUCUCCUCUCUUGCUCUGGGGAAGCAAGUCCUGUGAAGAGGCCCACAUGUCAAGGAACUGAGCCUCUGGCCGAAAGCCAGCAAGAAACCGAAACCUGCCAGCAACAAGAGUGAGCUUGGAAGCCAACUGUGCAGCCCCAGCUGGGCUUUGAGAUGACUGCAACCCCAGCCCACAGCUUGCCUGAAACCUCUCGAGAGGCCCUGAGCCAGAACCACCCAGCUGAGCCACUCCCUGAUUCCUGACCUCAGAAACUAUGUGAGGUCAUAGAUGUUUGCUGUUUAAGCUGCUGCAUUUUGAAGGAAUCUGUUACACAGCAAUAGAAAACUAAUACAGCCCUCUACAGAGCAAUUGAACAGAGUCAUUUUUGGAACUGUUGGUGGGAGGCUGGAGCGAUAGAAUGCAAAUAGCUGCUUCUCCUUACUUCUAUGAGCCUCUGUUUCCUCGUCGAAAAACAAGGGAAAGUCUGAUUGGGCAGUUCUCCUUAGAGGCUGUCCUCAAGACAGUGACUCAGGAUCUGGGCUGCUUCUGUAUUACGGCUCUGCCAUCUCCUAGUGCCUCCAUGGACUCCUCUGCUUGGUCAUCACUCAGCCAUCAAGUAAAGAGAGAGACAGCAAGGAGGAUCACCCAGGAUGUUUCAUAGACAAGUCUGGAAGUGGUGUACAUUACUUCCCUCCACAUGCCAUUGCCCAGAACAUGGUCAACUAACACCAGCCUAACAGCAAGCAGGACUGGGACACGAGUCUUAUCCAGAAAGAGGAAGUGGAAUUGGUGAGCAUCUAGGCAAUCUCUGCCACAUGACGACUACUAACCCGUAAUCUGCCUCUGUUUUAGUUAAAAUCAUACAACUUCCUAAAGUUCUUUAAGCAUGUUUUACAGUGUAGUUCUUAAACUAUAUUAUUAAAAACUGCGAUAAAUAUUUGAACGUCAUUAUUGGAAUAGCUAAGAUUCUCGAGGAAAUUUUUGGAAAUGCAAGACUCUCUGGUAAUGUGUGAAUUGAAAAAUAAGCAUUCAAAGAUCAAAGUGGCUAAGUUUAGCAAUUCCAUACUGGAAUUUGGAGGGUAGCUAAGCCCUCAUUCUUAUAAUAUGCCUUGUGAGCCCAUUUUCAAAAGGAGUAUAUGAUAGAGAACAACAUGAAGAAUGUUUGAGUUGUAAAUUCCAAAUCUUAUUUAUGAACUUUUAACACAUUUAUAAUCCCAGAUCCAUUCUAAUACUGUAUCUCUCUGCACACUCAUGGCAGAGCCAGUAGAAAAUCUGUUGAUUAAUGACAGCUAGUUUUGAGCAUUUCUCAUGUACCCCCUCCUCCCUUCACAUACACUUCAUCAUCAUGCCUUUUUUUUUCAGAUUCUUAUUUUUUAACCCAAAAAUCAUGGUCUGCAUUUUGUUUAAAUAUCAGCAUUUCCUCUCAGUCUUCUAGAGCAAGGAAUUUCAACCCAUGAUUCACCAUUAAUUUUUGUGAGUUGUAGAAGUUUCAAAACUUUCUGGUGUGUCCAUUUUGCUUUUAACUCUCUCCCUCCUUCUUUCUCUUCUGUCUUAUAGACUAUGUAAUAGCUGUGUUUUAUAAUUGCCCAACAUAUACUUUUCUCUUUAUUUAAAAAAAUUUUCCAAUAGCCAUGGCAGCAUUUUAAAGUUUACACUGAGAGAGGCUAUCUAAAUAUGAAACAGAUGAAUAAGUAUAUCUUGGGCAAAAUAACUUACAGAUAUGAAAAGAAAAUUAGAGGGGCAUAUGUUUGUGGCUGAGAAAGUAUGUCUGUUCAAAUGUAUGGGAGAGAAUUAGCAUGGAGAAAAGACCGCUGUACAGAAGGAGAUUGUCUGUUGUUGCAUGAGGAACUGAGAAUUCUGGGAUGACCCUCAACCUCUUUGGCUGACAAAGUAUCCUCAACUAGUUGCCUGGAGUUGGGAACAAUUGAUGCCAGGUGGGUAAAAGAGAAAGUGGAUACCAUUUACGUUACCACCUCAUUUACUUCUGGGGCAAGACAGACAAAUAAUAAAAUAUAUAUGUAUCUGCAUUAAAUGACCAUCACGUUUCAUUUGUUUUCAAAGCUGUCUAUGGAUAUUCGCACUAAAACAUUUCAAAAUCUAAGUGAGAGCAGCCCUUUGUUAAUGUAAACAAUAGAUUAGAACCAGUGUAGAAACUAUUAAUAUUACCAUGUUUCAAACAGCAAGCAGAAAGGAAAACUAUGAAAAGAAAAAAGAAUAGUUACAGAGGACCCCAACCAUGAGAUCUUAUAUUAAAGUGAAAGACAGUCCUACUAUUUUGAGUCAAAAAUAUUGUUACUUACAAAGCUUUGGUCAAUAACAGCCUUUCACAUAAAGCAUCUUUUUUGUUUUUCUCUGUGAACGUUUUUCAUUUUACAUUUGUCAUGUAAUCCAUUGUAUUAAUAGUUGUUUAAAAGCUGAUUUACUUUUCUCCUAAAACAGACUCACUUUUGUACACCAUCUUCAUGCAAAUGGUGGAGCCCUCCUCAACUGGAACUGCCCUCAAUAAGUCAUAAUGUGGACUUUGACCUCUGACCACAUUUGGAAAGUGACCAAAUCAAGACAGAAAAAUCUAACUUGCCAAAGACCACAUAGGAAGUUCUUGGCAAAGUCAGAUGAGAAAACAGAGUUCAUGAACUUCAAGAGCCAACAUUUUUAACCACUGCCUCUGUUCCUUGUUUUGGGAACCCUUUUCCAAUAAAAAAAAAAGUAGAAAAUUCUAGAAUUUUCUUGCUUUUUUUCCAUGACCAAUUUAAUGGAGUGGUGGAAAGAGCUCUGCACUAGGAGUUAGAGACUUAGACUCUUUAAAAAAAACAAAAACAACUUUGUACAGUGCAACAUUUCAAUGAAUCCUUUGUCCCAUCGCUCAGCUUCAAGAAUCUUAAACUCAUAGCCUAUCUUAUUUCAACUAUAUCCCACUGAAUUCCUUCCUCUCACGUAAUUUUGAAGCAAAUCCCAGACAUCAUACCAUUUCAUCCAUAAAUAUUUCAGUAUGUAUCUCUAAAAGAUGUCUUUUUUUAAAAAACAUAACCACAAUACCACUAUCAUACCUAAAGCAUUUGAUAAUAAUUAUUUAAUACAAUAAAAUAUACAAUCUAUAUUCAACAUUCCCACUAUCUCAUAAAUAUAAUAAUUUUAACAGUUUGUUUGAAUCAAGAUCCAAAUAAAGUCCACUCAUUGUGAUUCACUAUAUGUCUGUAGGUCUUUUAAAAAUUUCUAGGCUUUCUCUCCAUAUCUUUUUUUGAUUUGUAACUUAUUUAUUGAAGAAACCAGGUCAUUGUCCUGGAGGCACAUAUUAAAUUUUGUUGAUGGCAACCCUGUGGUAUUAUUUAACAUGUUCCUCAAUUCUCUGGUUUUAAAUUGGUAGUUGAAUCAACAGGUCUGAAAAGAUUCAAAUUUGGCUGCCUUUGGCAAGAGUCUUUGAUAGAUGGGGUGUGUUUUCAUCAGGAGGCGAUAAUGUCCGUUUAUCUCCUGUUUUAUCAUGUUAGCACAUGUUGGUGCUCAAGGUCUAGGUUCAUUAAUUCAUUAAGGAUUGUAGAAUAAUGAUAUUAUAAUUCUGUUAGUCUGUCUUCAUUCCUUAGCCAGAAUAAAAAGAAAGUUUCCCUGGUUUACUAUAUAGCUCCCCAGAAGUACAAUUCAUAAAGCAAAGGCAGGAUAAGUGCUUAAUUCUUUCCUCUUUUUCUUUUUUUUUUUUUGGUGAAGAUUGGCUCUGAACUAACAUUUAUUUCCAAUCUUCCUCUUUUUGCUUGAAGAAGAUUGUCGCUGAGCUAACGUCUGUACCAGUCUUCCUCUAUUUUGCAUGUGGGACAGCACCACAGGAUGGCUGAUGAGUGGUGUGUAGGUCCUCCCAGGAUCUGAACCCAUGAACCCCAAGCCACCUGAAGUGGAGUGCACAAACUUAACCACUACGCCACUGGGCUGGCCCCUUAAGUCUUUCUUUUUACUAUUAAUUUUCAAAAUAAUGAAUUGGUUUACUAGUAUCAUACAAUGAUGACUAACUAGUUGUUAUUUUUUAGUAUCAUUAUGAACUCAUAGGAGUUUAUAGUUCACUAGAGGAAAUAGAUGUACAUUGACAAUUAUAAUACAACACGAUUUUGUGUUAUAGUAAAAGUAAGUAAACACUUCUAUGGGCAUCCAGAAGUGAGAGUAUCUAACUCUGCUUUAUGGGGUAUGACAAAGGCCUCAAAAAGGAGACAGUACUUGAGUUGAGUGCUGAGAGUUGGAGGUCACCAGGCACAGAAAAUCAAGAAUUUGUUCUCCCAUGACUAAUAAAACAUUAGCUGAGUCCACCUCUGCAAAUGGCUCCAAGCUUUUUUUUUUUUUUUUUUGCUGAGGAAGAUUCACUCUGAGCUAACAUCCACUGCCAGUCUUCCUCUUUUUGUAUGUGAGCUGCUGACAGAUGAGUGGUGUAUGUACAUGCCUGGGAACCGAACCUGGGCUGCCAAAGCAGCGCAUACCAAACUACACCACUAGGCCAUCGGGGCUUGCCCCAUUUCCAAGCUUUUUAUCUAGCACAGCUGAUGAGGUGGAAGGAAAUGAAUGAAAUUCACUAAGUCAGGAUAUAAAACGGGUAAGGAGGAAGAGUCAUGUGGUGGGAUGGGAACUGUAGGGAUGGGAUGAAGAAAUCAGCUCUUAUAUGUUGAGUUUGUGAUGCCUUUGGGAUAUCCAGGUAGAAAUGUUUGGCAGACAGCUGGAAAUAAGGUAUAAAGCACAGGAACACCAGCUGUCCAGACAGAUCAAUUUAAGAUUAACCAGCAUGUAACAGUGAAGUCCUGCAAGUGGGGUGAGAUCACUCAAGGAGGGUAGAAUAAGAAGAAAAGGGGCACUAAGAAGAAUCUACCUCCAUAUUUAAGGAGUCUGCAGCGGAAGAGAAAUCUACAAGGGAUCCUGAAAAGGAGCAGAGAAGUAGGAAAUAGCCUGUAAGCCAAAGGAGGGGACAGUUCGAGAAAACACAGAGAGGUCCGGGGAAAUAUCAACUGAAAAGUAAACCACUGGGCUUUCCAAUUAGGUGGCCACUAGCGAUCUCACCAAAGGCUGUUUCAUGGAUUGGUGAGGAUAGAACCUACAUUUCAACGCAUGCACAGUGCAUAAGAGGGGAGGAAAUAGAGACAGAAAUGAAAUUACUGUUUUCAAAAAGUUUGGUAGGGUCUGACAGUGUGAAAACUCAUUAUUCUAGAUUGCGUCCCAUAUGUAACAUAAAAUCAACUAAUCAAUAAAUAUUUAUUGUAAGCUUAUUACGUAUAAGCCAUUGUGCCAAAGUAUUACUAGUGUAAAAAAGAUAUUUAUGGCAUAGUCCUUGUUGUAAAGGAUACAAUUGUGAAGGAGAAAGUAUGCAAAUUCAUAAAUGCAUGUUUAAAAAGAAAGUUCUUCAGAAACCCUAAGAAAUCAAAUUAAAUAAAGCAUUUUUUAAAUAUGUUGGCCUUCAUUAUCUCUUUAAAAUUGUACAAAGAUUGCAUGUUCAUGAUUCUAAAAAGCAAGGAAAAUGUGUGCUCUUAAAAAAAUAAAUAUAAAAUAAAUUUGAUGCGUGAAAC